ACUCCUACGGGAGGCAGCAGUGGGGAAUAUUGGACAAUGGGCGCAAGCCUGAUCCAGCCAUGCCGCGUGAGUGAUGAAGGCCCUAGGGUUGUAAAGCUCUUUCACCGGUGAAGAUAAUGACGGUAACCGGAGAAGAAGCCCCGGCUAACUUCGUGCCAGCAGCCGCGGUAAUACGAAGGGGGCUAGCGUUGUUCGGAUUUACUGGGCGUAAAGCGCACGUAGGCGGACUAUUAAGUCAGGGGUGAAAUCCCGGGGCUCAACCCCGGAACUGCCUUUGAUACUGGUAGUCUUGAGUUCGAGAGAGGUGAGUGGAAUUCCGAGUGUAGAGGUGAAAUUCGUAGAUAUUCGGAGGAACACCAGUGGCGAAGGCGGCUCACUGGCUCGAUACUGACGCUGAGGUGCGAAAGCGUGGGGAGCAAACAGGAUUAGAUACCCUAGUAGUCCCAUGAU
rnacentral:rRNA from 1 species